rnacentral:rRNA from 1 species
GACGAACGCUGGCGGCGUGCUUAACACAUGCAAGUCGAACGGAAAGGCCCUGCUUUUGUGGGGUGCUCGAGUGGCGAACGGGUGAGUAACCCGUGAGUAACCUGCCCUUGACUUUGGGAUAACUUCAGGAAACUGGGUCUAAUACCGGAUAGGAGCUCCUGCUGCAUGGUGGGGGUUGGAAAGUUUCGGCGGUUGGGGAUGGACUCGCGGCUUAUCAGCUUGUUGGUGGGGUAGUGGCUUACCAAGGCUUUGACGGGUAGCCGGCCUGGGAGGGUGACCGGCCACAUUGGGACUGGGAUACGGCCCAGACUCCUACGGGAGGCAGCAGUGGGGAAUAUUGCACAAUGGGCGGAAGCCUGAUGCAGCAACGCCGCGUGCGGGAUGACGGCCUUCGGGUUGUAAACCGCUUUCGCCUGUGACGAAGCGUGAGUGACGGUAAUGGGUAAAGAAGCACCGGCUAACUACGUG